rnacentral:lncRNA from 1 species
GGGUAACUAUGUCACCAUUUUUUUCAUGAAAGAAAUUACAAAGGCUAGAGAAGCUAUGUUAGAAUAUAAAUAAGUAGCAAGAAGAAAGGGGCUUGUAUCUUCUGGAUCUUUAUUGUAUACUUCAAAAAUGCAAAUACAUUCUACACGUGUGAAGUGGGAUUUUGAAAAAAUAAUGAGAUAAAUCAGAAGUUAGAUUUAGGACAGAGAGUUCACUGUUUUUCAUUGGUCAAGGGUAUAGGUGCUAUUGGCCAAAAAUGAUGGGAUCUGAUAAGUAAUGGACAAUAUGAUGGAUAUAAAAAGCAGUUACAACAUCAGCUUCUUUCAUGAAGUUCCAAACAAACCAACACAUCUUAACUACACCAUUGCCAUGGGACACUGAGAAAAUCAAGUGCUACGGGACUAAGUGUUUUCCAAUUUAUAUCAAGUAUGACAGUGUGUUAAUACAAAAAUGUUGAGGGUGAAAAUGAAAUUUUGAAUCCAGAUGUGCUCUUUCGUCAUCCUGCUAGCAUAAAAGAAAGGAUGUGGUCUACCACAUGUGGCUCAAACACUUCCUCAUCUAGACAAGGUGGUAAGAGGCUGAGGAGAUACCUUAAAAAAACAAAACAAAAAACAACAACAACAAAAAGACCGAAACUAAAGCUGACAGAAUUAUCCUUGCACAAAGAUUGGUGGAGACAUAAUGUCAGUGAAAUCAUUUGUCAGAAGUUCAGUUUCAAAGUUGCAGAGCAUCCUCCAGAAGGCAGGAUGUCACCACACCCCCAGAUCGCUAUGCAAACUACAGUGGACGAAAGAGGAGCUCAUUUGAAUUAUGCAAAGAGAAGAGAGAGGUCAUUUCUGUGA